rnacentral:rRNA from 1 species
UACGUAGGCAGCGAGCGUUGUUCGGAGUUACUGGGCGUAAAGCGUGCGUAGGCGGUUGUCUAAGUCUGGUGUGAAAUCUCCCGGCUCAACUGGGAGGGUGCGCCGGAAACUGGAUGACUGGAGUGCCGGAGAGGUAGGCGGAAUUCCUAGUGUAGCGGUGAAAUGCGUAGAUAUCUGGAGGAAUACCGGUGGCGAAGGCGGCAUCCUGGACCGGCAUUGACGCUGAGGAGCGAAAGCUAGGGGAGCAAACGGG